rnacentral:snoRNA from 1 species
AGGCGAUGAUGAAUGCUCUGUGCUUUCCUAGAAGGUCUCGUUCGUCGUAAUGGCUACUUUUUAGCCUUGCCGACCAUCCUGAUAUAUCACCACCCAUAUUCUGAGUCC